UAGAAUAAAUUUUAUCUAAGCAGUUGUUUCCUCUUUCUCUCCUUUUCUGUCUGUCUGUCUGUCUGUCUUUGUUUGAAAGCAGGUAGUGUUUGUUGACUUGUAUAACUCUACACAAGUACAGAAAUAUGUUUGACAUGAUGUAAAUGAUGAUGAUGAUGAUGAUGAUGAUGGUGGGUUUUCUUCAUCUUUGUGACAGCCAUAUGAAGCUGUCAGAGCCGAUGUCAUUCUUUGAGUGUUGCUGUCUUAUAAUCUCUAGCCGUAAAGAAACAGUU